GUUUUCAUUAAUCAAGAACGAAAGUUAGGGGAUCGAAGACGAUCAGAUACCGUCGUAGUCUUAACCAUAAACGAUGCCGACCAGCGAUUAGGAGACGUUGAAUACAAAACACCACCAUCAGGCAGUGGGAUCGUGCUUCGCUUUUCCGGCAACGGGAAAGUGGAGGCGGUCUCAUUCCCCUGAUGGCCCGGUGAAUGACUCCCCUAGCAGCUUGUGAGAA
rnacentral:rRNA from 2 species